rnacentral:tRNA from 1 species
CGGGGUGAAGGGCACCGGUCGCCCGCGUGUCUUGGGCACACGAGCCAGUCAGUUCGAUUCUGACCACCCCGA